rnacentral:rRNA from 1 species
CCUACGGGAGGCAGCAGUGAGGAAUAUUGGUCAAUGGACGAGAGUCUGAACCAGCCAAGUAGCGUGAAGGAUGACUGCCCUAUGGGUUGUAAACUUCUUUUAUAUGGGAAUAAAAUGUUCCACGUGUGGGAUUUUGUAUGUACCAUAUGAAUAAGGAUCGGCUAACUCCGUGCCAGCAGCCGCGGUAAUACGGAGGAUCCGAGCGUUAUCCGGAUUUAUUGGGUUUAAAGGGAGCGUAGGUGGAUUGUUAAGUCAGUUGUGAAAGUUUGCGGCUCAACCGUAAAAUUGCAGUUGAAACUGGCAGUCUUGAGUACAGUAGAGGUGGGCGGAAUUCGUGGUGUAGCGGUGAAAUGCUUAGAUAUCACGAAGAACUCCGAUUGCGAAGGCAGUUCACUGGACUGCAACUGACACUGAGGCUCGAAAGUGUGAGUAUCAAACAGGAUUAGAUACCCGAGUAGUC